rnacentral:lncRNA from 1 species
CUCGGACUGGGUCAGGGAAGGGCGACGUCAGCGUGGCCACCAUCUCGGAACCCUGGUCGGGGCUGUGCCAACGGCUCAGGCCGAGGCACUGCGGCUUCAGCGUUUCUUUUCCUUUUCUUUCCCCUGACCCGCCUCGGGCUGCCAGUGAAUACUCCGGGGAGUGGCUCCCACCACACGCUGGCCCUGCCCGCGGGCUGUCCUGGGAGAUCCUGGAGCAGGGGGAGCCGACGUCGGAUCACGUGCGUGGACCUGAGGCGCGCCAGGUCUUUGUCUCUGGGCUGCCACGGGGGCCGGCCAGGGCUAAGGGCGGACGCGGGGUGCCUUGGACUGUCGCUAUUAGAACCAGCAGCGGGGAGAAAGUCCUUCCUACGGCCCGCGCCAACCUGCCCUGCGUUCCCCGGAUGGCCAUGACCACCCAAGCUCAGGGACAUAGUUUGAGACAGCGACUGGAUAAAGCUUUCAGAGUCACAGAGGUAAUAGCUGCAUACUUUAGAUACUUUUCUGUGCAGUUUGUAUAA